UUUUGCCGCACCUAUGGUAACCCCACAUCGAACCAUGGUCAAUAUCACCGCCAACCAAGGAUACAAAAGCUCCCGUUGACAUCGGGUUACUUGUUAGAAAAUCUUACCACAUUUGGUGCUCCCGCAUUUGAUAUUUACGUUUUGAAUGCACACAGCAAUAGAAUUUCCAGAGAAGAUUGAAGAGGGACAAACCAAUCCGACCGAGCCGGAGAUGAUUACCUUGGAUCCGAUUUCGGGAGGAGCGAAUACGUUGGCAGCUGGAUCUGUGAGCAGUUCAGCUGACGAGUUCGUUAGCGCGGACGAAGACGAUAUCGACAGUGACGAAAAUGUGCUCCCACCGCAAUAUGUAGACCCAGCUAACCCAGAGCAUGAGUGUAACCGUCGGUUCCAAAUUCUACUUGUAGCUCCACCACAAGAUCAAUUUUCCAUCAAAUUUUCCUUAAAUUCCUUUUCCCGUUUAUUAUCCCAAAAUAUUCAUGCCAUAAUAACACGCCCUUUUCAGAUAUUUCUCCCACUAACACUAUCAGGGAGCAAUGGCUGCACUCAGCGGCUUGAUGAGUGUCAGAGCGUUUCUCCUCUUUCAUGUUCCACACUGUUUUGGUGACAACAUACUCGUAUGCAUAACAGUUUAAGCUGUCAGGCCAAAACAUAACUGGGUCAAUCGUUGUUCACUCACAGAUGGAGCCAGCAAAAAUAGGGUGCUUGUUCAUAUUUCCGGCAUUAAAGGUGCAUACAAUGUAACUUCAUGUUAUUUGUAUGGAAAAUGUUAAAUGUAUGUUUGACUAAUAGAGCUAAUAAACUAUAGAGGAAGAAUGUCGCUAGCGACGCCACCGCUACAUCUCUUGCUGGCGGAGAUAGGGAGGGAUAUAAGUGUCAAAGCGAAAAAGUAUGCAGUUUGACAGAUAGAUGUGGUAGCCGACGCUCGAAAUAAAUUCCGACAAACAAACCAAUAACUUGCCGUCACAACAGGUGGUGACCAUUCGCCGCAAAAGCCGUUCACAAACUGAAAAGCUGCACUCAGAAUCAAACCCAUCGAGGUAACAUGGCACACACACCAUUAUCACCCUGUGCGACACUUCAGUCACACCAUUCAUACUUCUGUGUGUUGCCCGGGUUGCCUGAGCAUGCAGCUACUCGCCUACACUAAUACAGAGAAGCGCCGUCAUCGUCGAGUGCGCAUCAUACUCGAACCGGUUCACGCAAAACUCGAAAGCAAACCGCGAGAAAGCUUUCGCUUGCUUGUCAAACUAAAAGCUCAUCAGGAUUGAGCGCACGGAGGGAAAGCAUCGCGACAUAAUUGAAAACGAUUCCAGUCUGCAACAUUUUCUAUAAUCCUCACUUCAUUCUCCACAAUAGAUACCCGACAUGUUUGCGAAUGAGAACAAAGGGAACACCAGCGACAUUCGUCCUCUAUAGUUUAUUAACUCUAUUGUUUGACUCAAGGUGUUUUUAAGGAAGGUGACAGCGUAUAAACAGUCAGUGGAUGCGGGGCGUGCGGGGAGGUGGAGGUGACAGCUGGCUAGUUUGUGUAUGCUGCAGAGCGCUACAGAAGCGUCGCUGCGCUGCAUCGGCCACAACAUUCUCAACACGGAGAACCAAUGUUCGCAUAUUCCCAUGGCACACAUAAAAUGAGUAACAUUCACCCAGAUUUUAAAAUUGGGCGUGCCUUCACAUUUAUGUAAAAUAUCUUUUUUUUUUUGUAUACCAAGGUGAUUUAGAAAUCAAACAAGAUUGCCAUGCCGAAAGUAUUGCAAAAUAUACGCUUAUGUGGGUGACAAACUGAUUUUCAAUUUGGGUAAGUCUUGCACACUCUAUGCGUGCCAUGAAAUUUGGCCGAUUGUAGUGCUGUGUAAGUUAAGCGUGAAUGGUUUUUGUGGGGUUGCUACGUUGCUAAGGCCCAAAGUUUUUGCUUGCCAUCAUAUUAGUGAAAACAAAUCAAACACAAACUUGCCAGCUGUCUUUCGGUUUUCCAAUAUGGCGGAUUGUAGAAUCUGACAUAUUGGAUUACCUUCCUUUUACUUAUCUUGGUUUGACUCGUCUAUAAAAAGCUCAGAGCUUCCUCUCUGAGUUUCUUUUUUUCGAUCGUGAUCUUCGAACAGAGUUGUAGUGCGCGCGUGUGUAGAUUGUAAAGUUUGUAUGUUAAUUGUUAAAAUUUGAAUAUGGUGAAAGUUUUAUUAUUCAGUGUUGUCUCUUUUGUCUUAGGUCGAAAUAAUUGUUAGUAACGAUUAGUGCAUUUAAUGUUAUUCGGAACAAAUCAUGCAAAUAUUAGUACGGUUAGUGACUAGAAAGUUGUUAGAAAGAACUUAAAGCUAAUUUGUUAUUUUCUACAGUUACUAUUAUGCUAAAAGCGAAACACGAACAAACAGCACAACGAAGAAUUGAAAAGUGUGUGAGUGUGAAGAAACUAUAUAGAAAAAGGUCCGUCAAUUGGGCCUUUUUCUCUGUAUUUUUACUCUACCGCCGACAGAAGAUCCCCGGGAACUACUUUCCCGGAAGUGUAUGCCAAUCAACGAUCGGAAACUGGGUUUCGUGACAAGAAACUGCGUCCCGUCGCGAGGUGAUGUUCCAUUCCACCAACGACCAUCUGUGUUCGCCAGCGCGCCGAUAGGAGUCGCCAUUGCCAUCCAUCGGUCCCGCCAGCGUUUGCCGCCAUCGCUAUCCGCCGGAACGCCUGGCGUUUCCCGUGAGCAACAUCAGCUAUGGCCGCCGGUAAAGUCGAACGGCUACCGAGCGCCUACCAAUGAAGAUCCGGAUCAAGAAAAACCACUAGCAUGCAAGUAGCCCUAUUGUGUGACGUCACCACUAAAUAAACUAUUGUAAUAUGUAAAUUGCCUCAA